rnacentral:rRNA from 1 species
GUGGGGAAUCUUAGACAAUGGGGGAAACCCUGAUCUAGCCAUGCCGCGUGAACGAUGAAGGCCUUAGGGUUGUAAAGCUCUUUCAGCUGGGAAGAUAAUGACGGUACCAGCAGAAGAAGCCCCGGCUAACUCCGUGCCAGCAGCCGCGGUAAUACGGAGGGGGCUAGCGUUGUUCGGAAUUACUGGGCGUAAAGCGCACGUAGGCGGAUCAGAAAGUCAGAGGUGAAAUCCCAGGGCUCAACCUUGGAACUGCCUUUGAAACUCCUGGUCUUGAGGUCGAGAGAGGUGAGUGGAAUUCCGAGUGUAGAGGUGAAAUUCGUAGAUAUUCGGAGGAACACCAGUGGCGAAGGCGGCUCACUGGCUCGAUACUGACGCUGAGGUGCGAAAGCGUGGGGAGCAAACAGGAUUAGAAACCCUUGUAGUCC